CAGUAGCCGCGGUAAAACGUAGGGUGCAAGCGUUAAUCGGAAUUACUGGGCGUAAAGCGUGCGCAGGCGGUUCGGAAAGAAAGAUGUGAAAUCCCAGGGCUCAACCUUGGAACUGCAUUUUUAACUACCGGACUAGAGUAUGUCAGAGGGAGGUGGAAUUCCACGUGUAGCAGUGAAAUGCGUAGAUAUGUGGAGGAACACCGAUGGCGAAGGCAGCCUCCUGGGAUAAUACUGACGCUCAUGCACGAAAGCGUGGGGAGCAAACAGGAUUAGAUACCCGGGUAGUCCCUGUCUCUUAUAC
rnacentral:rRNA from 1 species